AAUGCAGUCGAGCGGACGAUGGGAGCUUGCUCCCUGAUGUUAGCGGCGGACGGGUGAGUAACACGUGGGUAACCUGCCUGUAAGACUGGGAUAACUCCGGGAAACCGGGGCUAAUACCGGAUGGUUGUUUGAACCGCAUGGUUCAGACAUAAAAGGUGGCUUCUGCUACCACUUACAGAUGGACCCGCGGCGCAUUAGCUAGUUGGUGAGGUAACGGCUCACCAAGGCGACGAUGCCUAGCCGACCUGAGAGGGUGAUCGGGCACACUGGGACUGAGACACGGCCCACUCCUACGGGAGGCAGCAGUAGGGAAUCUUCCGCAAUGGACGAAAGUCUGACGGAGCAACGCCGCGUGAGUGAUGAAGGUUUUCGGAUCGUAAAGCUCUGUUGUUAGGGAAGAACAAGUGCCGUUCAAAUAGGGCGGCACCUUGACGGUACCUAACCAGAAAGCCACGGCUAACUACGUGCCAGCAGCCGCGGUAAUACGUAGGUGGCAAGCGUUGUCCGGAAUUAUUGGGCGUAAAGGGCUCGCAGGCGGUUUCUUAAGUCUGAUGUGAAAGCCCCCGGCUCAACCGGGGAGGGUCAUUGGAAACUGGGGAACUUGAGUGCAGAAAAGGAAAGUGGAAUUCCACGUGUAGCGGUGAAAUGCGUACAGAUGUGGAGGAACACCAGUGGCGAAAGCGACUCUCUGGUCUGUAACUGACGCUGAGGAGCGAAAGCGUGGGGAGCGAACAGGAUUAAAUACCCUGGUAGUCCACGCCGGAAACGAUGAGUGCUAAGUGUUAAGGGGUUUCCGCCCCUUAGUGCUGCAGCUAACGCAUUAAGCACUCCGCCUGGGGAGUACCGUCGCAAGACUGAAACUCAAAGGAAUUGACUGGGGCGCGCACAAGCGGUGGAGCAUGUGGUUUAAUUCUAAACAACGCGAAGAACCUUACCAGGUCUUGACAUCCUCUGACACCUAGAGAAAGAACUUCCCUUCCGGAGAAACGUCAAGUGGGGAAGGGUGGCGUCACUCCUGUCCU
rnacentral:rRNA from 1 species